rnacentral:lncRNA from 1 species
CCCUCAGAUCUCUCAUCCAGGUGGGAAGUCCCUGGGCAUCUUCUUUUAACCCUCUACAACCUACGACAUUUUCAUGUUUAUUUACAAAAUUUUGCAUAGGUGGGGUAUUACCUAGCUAGCUUCGUCAGUUCCACCCUUGGUGCUUCAGCAUUGGAGCUUACGGCUGCGAGGAGAGAAAUAGACUUGAUGAGGUAUCAGUUGGAGUAGGCGGAGAGC